UAGGUUUGGACCUAUGAUCCGGACAACAGACCCUGAUAAGAUGAAAAAAGAACUCUCUGAGCUCAGAGCAACAGGUGGUGGUGAUGCCCCUGAAAUGUGCUCUAUCUGGACUUGAGUGUGGCUCUCACCGGUGCCCCUCCCUCCUCCCAGAUCUAUGUUUUCACUGAUGAAACCCAAAGACAUGUACCUCAAGGACACUAUUGAUGCCCUCAUCAGGAGCACCAAAUCAACGGUGUCAUUUUUCGAGACUGAAAGCGGAGGAAGGAAACGUCGUUCCCUCAGAGCUAGCUUCCAAGGCACAAGGACCUGGCUUUGGCCUCUGGAGGGACAGGCUAUACAGGUGUCUAAGAGUCAGUUGCAUCAGGC